UAGGUGAUUGUCCGUGUUUGCUCACCAGCUUAAAUGUUUGAGUUGAACUGAUCGAUACAUGUGGCAACUUUAGUAUAAUAUCUAACCGAGCUAAUGAUAUGCAUGUGUAAUGUGCAGUGUUCAAGUAUUCUCCAGCGGCGCAUGAUGUGGUGGAGGUGAACAAGGCCGACUACGACUCAUGCUCCAGCUCCAGCCCUAUCGCCACCUUCAACUCCGGCGAUGACACCAUCCCUCUCACCGCUACCGGCACCCGCUACUUCAUAUGUGGCUUCAAUGGCCAUUGCACCGGAGGGAUGAAGGUCGCUGUCAAGGUUGAGGCCGCCACCGGCAGCAACCCGGCCCCAUCACCGAUGACCCCUCGUCCACGCACACCGACAGCAAUGGCACCGAACGCAAUGCCGCCAACGGCUGGUGGCCGGCCCGUGCCUCCAUCUAACUCAGCAAGCCAGCCCGCUGGUGUUGCAUCUCUAGUUGGUCUUAGUUUGGGUGCCAUAGUUGUUGGUCUCAUGGCCUUCUAAAUUAGAGUAAGAAGAUACUUUGUGUAUCUCUUCGAAGGCGAUCGAUUGAUUGUGUUCGUAUAUAUUGAUUGCUUUGAGUAUUUUCUCUGGUAGAGUCCGGCUCAUAUUGUUAUUUAUAUGUAAUAUAUUUUUUGUUAUAUGUAAUUCAUCAGCUCAUUAAUUAUGAUUUGAUUCUAUUGUUAUAUAUGUGUUUUGGCCCAUCAUGACUAGCGUUUGACUUCAAUUUUGUCAUUUCACCUAAAACUUUCCUUAAUCCAUUGAAAUUAAACAAAAGGGGGGGGACAAUUCCAUCUCAAAAGCCUGUGGCAUAAAUAUCUAUAACCCUAUUGUAGCUAGAUAGAAACAAAUCAAUAGGAAUUAAACAACACAACAACAUAGAAACCGUAGACCAUACCUAAAGCUUUACCUUCUAGAACAUGUAAAUAAAUAGUACUAACAUAAAUGAAUUAUUUUAAUAAUAUCUUGACAAUCAAUAUGUACAUAUAUCCAGUUGUCCACCCUAAUCCCAGUGCUCCAUCUUUUCCGCCCCCAUCAAACAAGAAAUUUCAGAUUAUGCUAUCAUCAAAAGUGAGUUACACUAUAAUGCCAUCCUUCAAUUGAGUUUCACCAAAACACUAUUAUCAAAUAGAGGAUUCAUGCCAGAUUCAUCUUCUUCCCUUUUACAGAUUUGUUGUCUCUCUUGCAGGUGAAGGGACCAAGAUACCCCUGUAUCGGUUGAGCUAUAUAUAGAGAGGGGGUAUCCAAACCAUGAAGAUAUCCCUCAAACUCCCGCACUAGUGUUGCCUCUUCCAACACCUACCUCUCCACUACCCUCGAUUAAUUCAACUUAGCAACCUCUAAGCAAAAUAUCUCUAACCUAGCCACCUAGUCGAUGCAACAUUCAUUUCAUAGUUCUAAUCCAACCAUCAUUGGUCAAACAAAUCAACCACUUUGUUGGGGUUUCUACUUUAUUUUUAAAGAGACAUGUAUAUAUAGUGGUGUCGAGUAAUAGUUGCAUAACCACACCAACAAGAUUAUCCACAUAUACAUAAUCAAGUGAAAUAUGUUUUUCCCUAAAGGUAGGGGUGUGGAAGGACCCUUUUUUUGCAAAAGAAGUUUAUUGAAGGAUCAAUAAAAUAUUUUGCGAAUUGAGGAAUUCAACCGCCUACAAUAUCCUAAGGAAAAAAAUUAGACCACCCAUGUUUUGUUGAUGACGUGGAUGUAGUAGUAGCUUUGUGGGAAAGUAUUAAUUAAUCAGCUUUCUCUAUAUCAAAUAUUAUAUGGAUUUAUCCAUCCUUUGUGUUACAAAGGGAUGCAUGGACAUGUCAGAAUUGUGUAUGUAGUAUACAUGCAUGAUGGAAUUGUGCAUGUAGUAUAAUGGUGCGAAAAUCGUAAUUGGAUAUCGGUGCCCUCCGCCUUUCUUUUCAUUUUUUCACCACAUAACUUUCCUUUUUAAGUAAGUUUGUACAACUAAACUUUAUACUCUUAAAGUUUAUACACCCAAUGUUUGUACACCUAAAGUUUGUAUACCCAAAGUUUAUACAUUGAAAAUUUAUAUGUCCGAUUCGAAUUUGAAUUUGGAUUCAGAUUCAAAUAUUAUAUAGAUAGAAUGAUGCUAUAUAAAAAGUUUCUACACAUAAUGUAUAAAGUUUAUACACAUCAAUAUUGUUAAACAUAAUUAUUGUCCCUUUGUAUUUUUGUUUUAUCCAAACGUAUUUUUAAAUUUGUUUUUAGAAACCCACAUGGUCUAAGUUGGGCCCAUGCAUGUUUUCUGAAAUAGAUAAAAGUAGAGACAUGAGGAGAUUUGACAAAGUCAGUUCUCACAACACUUUAAUUACUAUAUUUUGUCAAGUUCUGUAUUUGAAGUUUGAACACGUAUGUAGCAUUUUUCUUUUUGUUGACGGAAGUGCUUUCCGAAUAAAGCUCAUAUUUGCAUAACUAAUCAUAUAUCCAUGCUUGAAUGGUUAAUUUGAUAUAUGUGCAGAAUGCGUAUACGUGGGAACCAAUGGCAUGGAAAAGUCUUUAGGCCUAGUCUAGAUCCUCUAAAAUGGCAAAAGUUUUGCCAUUUUGUAGCACUUUUUGCCAUUUUAGAUCUAAACACUAGUAGCAAAAGUUGUCAAUUUGGCAUUUAUCAUUUGCUAGUCCAUAGUAGCAUAUUGUGCCAAAAAGUGCUUUGGGACCACUCCCUCUCUCUUUCUCUCUCUCACUUUAGUGCUAGAAUGGCAAAACUUUAACACGCAUCUAAACACCAACUAGUACUUUUGCAAUGCCAAAACUUUUACCACCAAAACUUUUGCCAUUUGCCAUUUGCCAUUUGCCAUUCCAAAUAGAUCUAAACAUGCCCUUAGUUCUGAUAUUUUCCACUAACAACUAAUUUAAUUUGAACCGACGCUUGAACAGGCUACUAGUCUAUUGCGAUUUAAUUUGAAAUUUGAAAGCAUGAGCCAAGUCAUCAUCGCGUGAAUUCAACACACCAGCUCGCGUGUGUAUAUGUGAUUUUUUCACCCAACUAACCGAUUUAGAUCUUGGUCAAGCUUAAUUUCUAGAAAUUUGGCUUUUAGAUAAUAAUAAAAUACAUCAAACACCAGGGCCCCCAUCUGAUGUGCAAAUUAAUUUCAUGGUAUAUAUACUUAUAUUACUGCAUCUUUUUAAACAUAUGAUGUUAUUAUUUACUUUUAUAUAUAUGACGUUUGACAAUCCUCUUAAUAAAAUUAAUUAUAGUAUUGUUUAGUUUAUUGUGUUUUGUGUUAUCCUUAAAGACAAUUCAAGGAUAUAUAACUUAUAUUUUAUAUAUUUAAAUUAAAUUUUUAAAUAAAAUGAAUGGUUAGAUAUCGUAUCCAAAUUAAAGUAAAAAUAGUUACAUAUUAAAAAACAAAAGGAAUAAAAUUUAGUCGCCAAAUCGAACAACCCCCACCCACCACCCACGAAUUCUUGCACUACACAUCAGAUGAUGAUUAUAUGUAUUACGUACACAAAUUCAAUUAGAUAACUAAUUUCAGACUCUGUCAAUUUGAUAGUUUCAAUCAGGUGAUCAUUAAAUUAAUUCAGACUCGGUCGAGCAGCAGCAGUCGAUCACGACUUUUCUCACGUGCACCUAUCAUUAAUUAAUUAUACAUUUUCCUAUAUAUACGCGCGUGUCAGUGUGAGCGGAUCGAGUCAUACACAUUUGACCAACCAAAGCCUUAGACUGACCUCACUUAACGCGCUUAGCUUACACCUAAUUAACUAACAAGCACCUAUAUAUACACCUCCUAUCAUACCUCCUCCCCAAAUCAACCAAGUUCCAUUUCAUUUCUUGCAUCUCCAAUUAUACUCUUGCUUCCAAUUUCAACCUCUCUUCCCAACCAUGGCAGCCAGAGCUCUCCUCGUUGUGGCCAUGGCGGCCGCGGUGCUCGGGACAGCGAUGGGCGUCACCACCUACACGGUGGGAGCUCCGGCCGGUUCAUGGGACACACGAACCAACUACGCGCAGUGGGUCUCUGCUAUCACCUUCCGUGUCGGUGACCAGCUUGUCUUCAAGUACUCCCCAGCGGCGCACGAUGUGGUGGAGGUGAACAAGGCCGACUACGACUCCUGCUCUAGCUCCAGCCCCAUCUCCACCUUCAACUCUGGCGAUGACACCAUCCCUCUCGCUGCUAUCGGCACCCGCUAUUUCAUCUGCGGCUUCCCUGGCCAUUGCACCGCAGGGAUGAAGGUCGCCGUCAAGGUGGAGGCCGCCACCGGCAGCAACCCUACCCCGUCACCAUUGGCCCCUCUUCCACGCACUCCUACAGUAAUGGCACCAAAUGCGAUGCCCCCUACGAACGGUGGCCGGCCCACCCCUCCGUCAAGCUCAGCAAGCAAGCCUGUUGGUGUUGCAUCUCUGGUUGGUCUGAGUUUGAGUGCAAUCGUUGCUGGUCUCAUGGUCUUUUAAAUUAGAGGGAAAAAAUAUUUUUUUUCUCUCUUCAAAGUUGAUCUAUUGAUCGUGUUCAUAUGUAUUGAUUGUUUGUGAUGAGUUCGGCUCAUAUUGUUACUCAUUUUUUUUGCUACAUGUAAUUUAGCUCAUUACGAUUUGAUUCCAAUAUUAUAUAAAUGUUCUUUUGACCCAUUGCUAGUGUUUGACCUCAAUUUUGUAUCUCCACCUAAAAUGGAGAAUUCCAUCUCCUAAGCAUGUGGCUCAUGUGAACAUAAAUAUGUAUAUCCCUAUUUUAGUUAGAAACAAAUCAAUAGCAAUUAAACAACACAAAACAACAUAUAAAGCAUAGACCAUAUCUAAAGCUCAACAAUAUUCUUUUUUAAAAUAAUGGAUAAACAUUGGAAAUCUGCCUUUUGCUUCAAUAGAAAUAGACAACAAAAGAUGAGCAGAUAAUAAAAAUGAGACACCAAACUCAAAAAAGAUAUGAACAACUUACUCAAGUAGCAAUCCUACUAGUAAAUCUCGAUCGAAAGUUGAUGAAAAUGUGCAUAGUAGUUUCUGGCAUGUAAAAGAGAGAUGUAUAGGUUUUUGUCCAUGACAGACAUUUGUAGUCGUGUCAAAAACCGAAACCUAUAUGUUACCUAAAAAGUAUCUGUAAAUAAAAUUUAGAUGAAGUUUUGUCAAAAACCAUAUCAUUUUUACUUAGUCAUAGAGUCCAACAUAAAGCAAAUACUCGCUUUUUUUUCAACCAAUACCAAACAGCCAGCUUCCACCUAUAUGAUGAGAGAAACUAGUUGGUGGUUUCAAGCCAAAGGAUACAUAUAUUACACUCCAAAGAAAUUUAGCAUAAAGCUCUACCUUCUAGAACAUGUAACUGAAUACUAACAUGUACUCCCUACGUAUUUUAAUGUAUGACGCCGUUGACUUUUUAACCAACGUUUGACCAUUCGUUUUAUUCAAAUUUUUUGUGCAAAUAUGAAAAUAUUUAUGUCAUGCUUAAAGAACAUUUGAUGAUGAAUUAAGUCACAAUAAAAUAAAUGAUAAUUACAUAAAUUUUUUGAAUAAGACGAAUAGUCAAACGUUGAAUAAAAAGUCAACGGCGUCAUACAUAUAUUUCAAUAAAGUAUCUUGAUAAUUUAAACUUAUGUAUUUGAAUUGGUAGUUUUUUGUUCACAACUUCGCGUAAGUACUAUCCUAGAGCUGUAUCACAUAUAUAUAACCAUGCUUGAAAUUGUUUUCUUUUUAUUAGUAUUAUUAUUUUGAGGGUCGGCAAGCAAAAUAGUUAGUUUGAUUUAUGUGAAACAUAUGUGGAGUGUGAAUGAAUCAAUGACACUUUUUUUAUAAUGGCAUGGAAAAGUACUACUGGUACCUAUAGUUCCAAAGGUACCGGUUCUAUAUUUUUGACCUACGGAGGUGGGCAGUUAAUAGGUGUCGGUUUUAAAUAAUCCGGUAACUAUAAGCCGAUCCCUAUUAGGGGUUUUGUAGUAGUGAUCUAGGCUCCCAGCCUCCCAUCAUAUCAAGUCAUCAUGUCCCCGUUCUGAUAGCCGGACCUUAUAAUUCCUUUAGGGAAGAGGUCGAUGGGGAAUGGGGGAAGGGUUCAAGCAGAGAAAAAGAUCCAAUUAAUGAUGUUUCACUAUCGGCUAAAAUUAAGACAUUAUAAUACAAAAAUAAUUUUAUCCUUUUAAAUUUGAUAUUGUUAUCUAUUGCCUUCGUCCCAUAAAAAAUAAAAUUAAAAAAAAUACAAGAUGUGGCAUAUCCUUGUACUGAAAAGUAUUUAAGUAGAAAGAUAAAUCAAUCUCAACUGUUGGAUCUGUUGGAUCGUUUAUAUUGGUGUUUAUAUUGGUAGUACAUACAUCCGGUUAUAUAUAUAUUCGCGGGUACAAUUUCAAUAGAAUUUUCAUAGGAUUAGAAAUUAAUUUGUUGUUGGUAUGCGCUUAUUAGUGUAUAUAUUAGGCCUCAUUUGGUAGAGCUACAAACUCUAACUCCCAAUUAUAAACUUCAACUCUAGUGGGAGCUAGCUCAUAUAGAAGUUGAGGUGGGUAAAAAGUGUUUGGCUAGAUUUACCAGCUCCAUGUCACCACGUGCCUUGUAGCCAUUUCGUUGAACACAUAGAGGGCGUCGCCGUCGCCGCACAUGUGUUUCCCUGCCAUUGCUGCCGUCGCCGCACAUGCGUUUCCCUGCUGUUGCCGCCGCCGUUUGGCUCGUGCCUGUCGACGCCACCGCUCGCCGACGCCACACGCCGCCUACCGACGCCGUCAUCCUGCUGUCCUAGCCACCGCCGCCGACGCGACCAGCCCACCACCACUACAUGUCGUCGCCGACGCAAACGUCGCUUCUCCGCCCGCGCUGCGCCACAAACUCGCCACCUCAGCCGCCGCCUGUCGACGCCGCUGCCCACGCGCAGCCCGCCGUCGUCGAGAGGAGGAUGGCCGUCAGGAGGAUGGGGAGGAAGAUGAGGAGAGAGAACGGGAAGAGAGGGGAUAUGAAUAGGUAGUUCAAUGGCAUAUCACGUAAUUACAUGAAAAUUUAAAGGGUAGUGGGUCUUUUGGAAUGAAGUGAAGCUGUGGGGCAGAAAAACCCAGCUCCACCCCCGUAGUACAAAUUUGUGGAGCAGCUCUGCUAGCUCCGCUCUAAAAAAAAUGGAGAAUCUAUACCAUUUGGUACAGCUCCAGCUCUAGGUAAGUUGGAGUUGAGAAACGCUUAGGGGUAUUCCAGCUAGCUCCACAAGAUGGUAGGCUAGAUGAUCUUGUUUGAAGCCUCACCCCUUAUUGAUAUUAAGUCAUUCCCUAAUAUUCGUGUCUUUUCUAGGUAAGUUGGAGUUAGUAGCUAGAGCUGUGUCAAACGGGUGUUUGUGUGUGGUGUAUGCGUGAGCACUUGGUCCAUUUAACAAUAAAAAAAUCAAUCAGGUGUUUCAGACUUAGUCGAGCAGACUUAGUUAGAUUGUUAUUACUAAUUAUUAUACACGUUCACACACACACGUCUUUGAGCGAUGGAGUCAAACGCAUUUGACCCACCAACCCCUAUAAUCCUGGACUGACAUCACCUCCACUGUCUCUGCAAUGCAAUGCAAACAAUCACCUAUAAAUAUACUCAAAACCAUCAUCGAUUCUUGCAAAUCAUCACCCUUCCAUCGAUCGAUCUGAUCCACCUAGUUGCAAGCUCGAUCGAUCUCUCAUCUGCUCUGCUAAUUGAUCCUAAGGCGAUCAUGGCAGCUGCCAACAGAUCGGCUCUCCUCGUCGUGGCCAUGGCGGCGGCGGUGCUCACGACGACGGCGACGGGCGCCACCACCUACACGGUAGGAGCACCGGCCGGGUCGUGGGACACGCGCACCAACUACGCGCAGUGGGUGUCCGCCGUCACCUUCCGUGUCGGCGACCAGCUUGUGUUCAAGUACUCGCCGGCGGCGCACGACGUCGUGGAGGUGACCAAGGCUGGCUACGACUCCUGCUCGAGCUCCGGCCCCGUCGCCACCUUCAACUCCGGCGAUGACACCGUGCCAUUGACAGCUACCGGCACCCGAUACUUCAUGUGCGGCUUCCCUGGCCAUUGCGCCGCCGGGAUGAAGAUCGCAGUCAAGGUCGAGGCCGCCACUGCCACCGGCGGUAGUGGCACUGCACUGUCGCCAAUGGCGCCUCGUCCGCGCACGCCUACAGCAAUGGCACCGAACGCGAUGCCACCUAUGGCUGGUGGUCGGCCUGUGUCUCCAUCGAGCUCGGCGAGCAAGUCCACUGGUGUUGCAUCUCUGGUUGGGCUUAGUUUGGGCGCCAUAGUUGCUGGCCUCAUGUCCUUCUAAAUUAGAGGAAGAAUAUUUUUUGUUCUCUCUUCAUUGGCGAUCGAUUGAUCAUGUUCAUAUGUAUUGAUUUGUUUGUGAUUAGUCCAGCUCAUAUUGUUACUUAUGUAAUUUUUGGUUACAUGUUAUUGAGCUUGCUUAUAUUUUGAUUCUUUAUUGCUAUAUAUAUAUGUUUUUGACCAUCA
rnacentral:lncRNA from 1 species